rnacentral:rRNA from 1 species
CGGGGUGGAUUAGUGGCGAACGGGUGAGUAACACGUGGGCAAUCUGCCCUUCACUCUGGGACAAGCCCUGGAAACGGGGUCUAAUACCGGAUAAUACUUCUUCCCGCAUGGGAAGAGGUUGAAAGCUCCGGCGGUGAAGGAUGAGCCCGCGGCCUAUCAGCUUGUUGGUGGGGUGAUGGCCCACCAAGGCGACGACGGGUAGCCGGCCUGAGAGGGCGACCGGCCACACUGGGACUGAGACACGGCCCAGACUCCUACGGGAGGCAGCAGUGGGGAAUAUUGCACAAUGGGCGAAAGCCUGAUGCAGCGACGCCGCGUGAGGGAUGACGGCCUUCGGGUUGUAAACCUCUUUCAGCAGGGAAGAAGCGAAAGUGACGGUACCUGCAGAAGAAGCGCCGGCUAACUACGUGCCAGCAGCCGCGGUAAUACGUAGGGCGCAAGCGUUGUCCGGAAUUAUUGGGCGUAAAGAGCUCGUAGGCGGCUUGUCACGUCGGAUGUGAAAGCCCGGGGCUUAACCCCGGGUCUGCAUUCGAUACGGGCUAGCUAGAGUGUGGUAGGGGAGAUCGGAAUUCCUGGUGUAGCGGUGAAAUGCGCAGAUAUCAGGAGGAACACCGGUGGCGAAGGCGGAUCUCUGGGCCAUUACUGACGCUGAGGAGCGAAAGCGUGGGGAGCGAACAGGAUUAGAUACCCUGGUAGUCCACGCCGUAAACGUUGGGAACUAGGUGUUGGCGACAUUCCACGUCGUCGGUGC